GCUCUGCUAGCGCAAUGGUAGCGCAUUGGACUUCUACUUUUCGGGGAUCCAAAGGUUGCGGGUUCGAGUCCCGCGUGGAGCU